rnacentral:rRNA from 1 species
GCAGUCGAGCGGUAGCACAGAGAGCUUGCUCUCGGGGACGAGCGGGGGACGGGUGAGUAAUGUGUGGGAAACUGUCUGAUGGAGGGGGAUAACUACUGGAAACGGGAGGUAAUACCGCAUAAUGUGGCAAGACCAAAGAGGGGGACCUUCCGGCCUCUUGCCAUAUGAUGUGCCCACAUGGGAUUAGCUAUAAGGUGGGGUAACGGSUCUCCUAUGCGACAAUCCCUAUAUGGGSUGAGAGGAUGACCAGCCACACUGUAACUGAGACACGGUCCACACUCCUACAGGAGGCAGCAGUGGGGAAUAUUGCACAAUGGGCGCAAGCCUGAUGCAGCCAUGCCGCGUGUGUGAAGAAAGCCUUCUGGGUGUAAAGCACUUUCAGCGGGGAGGAAGGGGAUAAGGUUAAUAACCUUGUCUAUUGACGCUACCCCCAGAAAAAGCACCGGGUAACUCCGCGCCAGCAGCCGCGGUAAUACACAGGGGGCAAGCGUUAAUCUGAAUUACUGGGCGUAAAGAGCACGCAGGCGGGCUGUCAAGACGGAUGUGAAAUCCCCGGGCUCAACCUGGGAACUGCAUUUGAAACUGUGAGGGUAUAGACUUGUAUAGGGGGGUAGAAUUCCACGUGUAGCGGUGAAAUGUGUAGAGAUCUGGAGGAAUACCGCUGGGGAAGGCGCGCCCCUGGACAAAGACUGACACUCUCGUGCGAAA